CGCAGAGCGGCUGGGCCCGUGAGCCAUGGCCGCUGAGCCUGCGCGUCCGGAGCCUGUGCUCCGCAACGGGAGAGGCCACGACAGUGAGAGGCCCACGUACCACAAAAAAAUAAAAUAAAAUAAAUAAAUAAAAAACAAAACUAAACAAAACUGCCGUGAUGCUGAUAAAGAAUGAAUGUUCAUCUUAGCUAUGGUGGUGGCAUGGUGCCCUGCAGAGUCGUUGAAAGGCAUUGGGUGUGGUCAUUCUGUGGGUGUCAGUGGCACGGUGUGGAGGCUCUAAGCUGGCAAAGUUCUGUGGGUUUUUGUGAGGUGCCUAUUCAGGACACUUGGUUCAUACCAGGUCAGCAAGCUCUGCUGAUGUUCCCUUUCAGAUCCUAGACACUGCCAGGUUCUCUUUUUCUCUAGGGCUUUUGGUUGUGAUUGACCAGUGACCUUGGGCUCAGGACUCUGAUCCCCCAGACUAAUUCACGCUCAACAAAUACAUCUUGAUGUAUUUGUGGGCCAAGCCUGAUGCUGAUGAUAGUGUUAAUUAUGACAAUAAAAAAUAUAGCAUCCAUAUGGCAGCUUAGAAAGGCACUCAUACCCAAUCCCCUCUGCUGUCAGCAGAAAAUGAAAAUGCCCAUCUCAAGAUGCCUAGAAGGGAACAGAAAUCACCCAGGUGGUAUGUGCAGAAGGAGGGGUGUAUGUCAAAGCUAGGAAGGGGCUGCCCCCUUUACAAAAGAGCCUGGAGAGAUUUGAGUGAAUGCAUUCAUGUUAGCUCUGGGUAUUUCUGAACGUCAGCCAGGAGAGCUAAUUCUCUGAUACUGUCAUUUCCCAUGCCUCCAUCUCAAUACAUACGUGUAUCUCCUCGAGUCUCUGCACAGAUAUCUGUCCCUGCAAAAAAGAAGCUCUCCUAAGAGCCCAGAGUGGAGACUCAGUGUUUUAUAUUUUCAUAAUUUCAUGCAUAAAAGAAUCGGUAGAGAGUGUAUUUAUCAGUUUUGCUGCAUAACAAAGAACCCCCCUACUCCCUAGAUCUCAGUGCUCAUAAUCAGUAAAAUUUAUUUUCCUUUCAUUUUACGUGAUGCCUGCAGUCAGCAGGGCCUCUGCUUCAGGCUGUGUGUUGACUAUGGGUCAGUUCCAUAGGGUUUUGUUUGUUUGUUUGUUUGUUUUUGCUUGCUUGCUUGCUUGCUUGAUUGAUUAUUUUUGGCUGUGUUGGGUCUUCGUUGCUGCACACGGGCUUUCCCUAGUUGCGCUGAGUGGGGGCUACUCUUCGUUGCUGUGCGCAUGCUUCUCAUUGCGGUGGCUUCUCUUGAUGCGGAGCACAGGCUCUAGGUGUGCGGGCUUCAGUAGUUAUGGCAUUUGGGCUCAGUAGUUGUGGCACACAGGCUUAGUUGCUCUGCAGCAUGUGAGAUCUUCCCGGACCAGGGCUCAAACCCAUGUCCCCUGCAUUGGUAGGUGGAUUCUUAACCACUUUGCCACCAGGGAAGUCCUCCAUAGGCUUUUUUGAUCUGUGACUGCAUUGGAAGGAACAGCCCCAAAGCACAAUGGGCAGUUCUGGCAGAAGGCGAGAGUCUAAGAAAGCAACCUCAGGUAUGCAGUCACCUUAGACUUUUGCAGGGUGUGGCUCACAGUCCACUGGCCAAAGAAAUCCAAUGGGCCAAAUCUAACAAUAGAAUUGAGAAAUUCACUGGCCCUGCAGGGAGGUGUGGCAAGGGUUUGUAUGCACAAACCUUUUACAGAAGACUGAAUUGUAAUACAAAUCAUCACAAGGGUUUUCUAAGCAUGCCAAUUCCAGGGCCCAUCUUCAGCUAUUUUAAUUCAAUCGGUCAGAGUAAGUAAUAACAGUAGUAGUAUUAAGAAUAAUAAAAUCAAUGGCUAGCGUUACUGUUUGCCUUUUAUGAGCCUGACACUGUGUUAAGUACUUAAACUCAUGAUGUUUAGUUUGAUCCUACGAUCUCUCUCUGAAAUAGGAACAAGUGUGAUCUCCGUUUUACAGGUGAGGAAACAGAAGCUCAGAGAGGUUCAGAGACUUCCCCAGGUCACACAGCUAGUAAAUGGUAGAGCAGGCAUAUGGAUCUGUGGAGUGGAACUUCUGAGCCCCAAGUCUUUUUCAGUUUCCCAGUUUUCCCAUCUCUCUCCUGCCUCAGGACCUUUGCACUUCCUUUCACCUCAGCCUUUAUAACAUUUCCUUCCAUUCAUUCACUUCAUUUCUCAAGUUUCAAGUGGAAACGUCACUUCCUCAGAGAGGCUCCCUGACCUUGGCCCCUGACUGAUCCACUUUGUGGGUCUCCUAGAUUUUCUAAGCCUCUUCUGAUCUUCUGUACUGGGGCGACUUUCUUGAUGGGCAGCCCAACCUCCUGAGUAUCACCUGGCCUCCUAACACCUCAGGCUGUCUCAGCCUUCCUCAGGGAAGGCAGGAGAUGGGAACGAGCCAAUAGAUAAAUUUCUCUCCCUUCCUCCUCCUGGACAAGCUGUCCAAGUUUUCCCAUCUGGCCCAUCGUCUGAUCCAUUGGCUGUACUUUCUUGCAAGGCUGGUGCCAGCUUGGUAAACAGCACCUUACAUCUGCUUUCCCUCAUUCCUUGCCUCGCUGCCCUGGACUCCACUUCCCAAUAAAGCCUUUGCAAGUAAGCUUUACUGCAGGCUCUGCUAUCUUGGAAAUCCAGCCUAAGGGACGACCCCCGCCCCCCCCACCUCCUACUUACACUUGACCCCCACUUUUCUUUAUCUAAUACCCUUUACCCUGUACUUUUCUCUCACAGCUUUUCUCAUACAACUGGUAAUCAUAUAUAAUAUGCACUUUUUUUUUGUCCUCACCAUGCAGCUUGUGGGAUCUCAGUUCCCUGACCCAGGCCCAGGCAGUGAAAGCACCGAGUCCUAACCACUGGACCGCCAGGGAAUUCCCAAUGCAGUGAUGCAGUGUUUUUUUUUUUUUUUUUACCACUGUGUUCUCCGCACUUGGUGCAUGCCCAGCACAUAGCAGUUGAUCAACAAAUAUUAGUAAAUGAAUGUACAUGUCUAGGCUUGAGUCCUUGCUUUGUCGGUGUUGCUUUUUUGUAGGUUGCUAAAGGUCUCUAUGCUUCGUUUUGCUUCCUUUUUGGGAAAGUGAGACUGGGUAUCUGUUUCAGAGGUUCUGAGACCAAAGUGUGUUGAUCAGUGCAGAUGUUCAAUAACUGAUCAUCAUUGCCGACACUGUUAAACUAGACCAGCGAUGGGCAAUCUUUUCCUAUAAAGGGCCAGAGAGUAAAUAUUUUAGGCUUAGCAGGACAAAUGAUCUCUGUCACAAAGACUCAACUCUGCCAUCGUGGUGUAAAAGCGGCCAUAAACAAUAUCGAAACAGGUGGGCUUGGCUGUGGUCCAAUAAAACCAUAUUAGCAAAAACAGGGUGAUAGGCCAGAUGGGCCCUCGAGUUGUACUUUGCCGGCCUCCGCGCUAUACAGUCUGAGCAGUGUGAAUCUAAAAGUUCGUAGUAAGCCACGUCAACAGAUUGCAAAUAUUCGUGAACUUUCUAGGCAACGCUUAUCUCUGCAUUUCUUUCCAGUGUUAAACACGUGCGAUAUUUUCCUGGCAGUGACAGUGUACUUUCAGGGAAAUCUGUGUUUUCAGAGUUUGUGUUUGUUUACAAUCUUUCUCUAACAAGUGUGAGUGGUGAGAGUCUCCCCACAUAUUUCCUCUCUAACUCCUUUUUCCCUGGUAAUGGUGUACCUUCUUAACCUACCUCCAGAGCUAGUCUGUGGAGAGAAAACUUGGAAUUUGGGAGACUGGAACUUUACUUGUCUCUCAGGUAGAAACUUUGUUAUAUAGCAAAUCUAUUUAGAGUGAGUGGUUUCCUAGAAAAGAUGUGAAAGAAAUGAUCCACUUAAAAAAAAUUAGUCAAGUCUUUGGAAGAGGACAGAUUUUUUAUAUAUAAACAUAUAUAAAAUGGGGUCAAGAAAAGAAGUCUGCUUUAGAGAGACCAUUAGUAGUUUUGUAGGCCUUCCUCAGUGUCAGGUAUGUGGGAGAGGGACCAGGAUACCAUGAUUGAUGGUUCAUCCAGAACUACGUGGAAUGUGGUUCCCCACAGGAAAACUGAGGUGCUGUUAACAGAAGAAGCGGGGAAGGGAUGCUAGAGAUGAAAAAUUGCAGCUGGUGUGGGUAAGUAGGAGGUGGCUGUCUCACCUUUUUCCUGUGAGCAUCAGCUCACCUCUGUUGUGCUGAUGAAAAAAGAUAUUGUGGAAAGCAUCUUAUCCAUCACCUGGUACCAAAUAGAGCUGGAAUAAAUGGAUGCUACAGGUUUUCAUGUUUCUUUAUUGUAAUUAUGGAUAAAACACGCCACGCCACACAUCCUAAGAAGGAUUAAGCCCAUCUGAGCUGAUCACAUGUUUGCUAGACUCUGAUGCAAUCACCAAGGGCCCAUGCGCUGCACAUCUUUCUGUUCUUCCGUCCUUAGAGUUUUGACAAUGACUCUCCUCAUGGUUGCAACAUGGCUGCCUCAGCUUCAAGCAUCAUGUCUUCUUAAGACAUCGUUUCAGAUAGGAAAGGAGGGAAUGUGUGCGAAAAGGGCUCCUUUCAUGUAUUAGGGAGGGAAUCUUUCCAAGAAGGCCUCCUCCUUACGUGCCGUUGACCAGAAGUAUGUCACAUGUCCAGCCCCAAACCCGUCUCCGGCAAGGCGAAUGCAGUUACUAUGGUUAGCUGUAAAGAAUCGUGAUUCAUCCACUGGGGCUGGAACAAGGAAAGGGUCAUGGCCAUGGGGCAGGCAGUACUUCCUUUGGCAUCUCUCUUUCCUUCUCAUGGCUAGAGAACAUGUCUGUUUUGUUCACAGUUCCUAACCCAGUGCCUGACCUAAAACAGGCACUCAAUAUAUAUUUGUUGGGGAAUGAAUAAAGUAAUGGAUGAAUAUAUUGACUAGAUUGUCCUUUUUUCUCAUUUAUUCUGGUUUCCUCAUUUCUCUGAGUCUGGCUGUCCUGGAGCUAUUCUUCCUGUCUGAAGAUGAGCCUUCCCAAAUUUGGUAACAUGAUUGCUCAUUUGGAGAGAAGCAAACUGCGUAUUGUGGGCAGACCACGUGGUUAAGUAACUGAUGACUCUGAUCCAUAGCCAGCAAAGACCUGAGACCUGCCAAUAGCCAGAUGGAUUCCUCUCCAGUGGCUUGUGACACUGCUUCAGGAAGACUUUCCCAACACCUGAAGAAUUUCUAUGUUCCUUUUCCCAGUCUGGGAUGUCUACUGACCAUAUUGCCAGCUUCUGGACCUGUUGUGUCUGGGAUGCAGGCUGAA